CCCGCCCAGUGGGAACAUCUCCUCCAGAGACAGGAAGUCUCAUGUGUUUUGCUAUUUAAUGAAGCAGGGACAUUCCUUGGUGUUUUCGCCGCACUCAGAGAAAGGAGAAGAGGUCCAUCCAUCAGACCGUUGAGAAAACUCUGGCUUGAAGACUUGAUGUUACUGCCUGAGGUCCUGUCGCUGGAGUGCCAGGCCGCGUCCCUCGGAGGUGGGCACAGAAGAUGCUAAGAU
rnacentral:lncRNA from 1 species